rnacentral:rRNA from 1 species
AGUCAAGUAAUUAAGUGCAUGUGGUGGAUGCCUUGGCAGUCAGAGGCGAUGAAAGACGUGAUAGCCUGCGAAAAGCUCCGGGGAGGCGGCAAAUAUCCUUUGAUCCGGAGAUGUCUGAAUGGGGGAACCCACCUACUUUAAGGUAGGUAUUGCAACAUGAAUACAUAGUGUUGCAAGGCGAACGAGGGGAAGUGAAACAUCUCAGUACCCUUAGGAAAAGAAAUCAAUUGAGAUUCCCUCAGUAGCGGCGAGCGAACGGGGAUCAGCCCAUUAAGUUAUGUGUGUUUUAGUGGAACGCUCUGGGAAGUGCGAACGUAGAGGGUGAUAUUCCCGUACACGAAAGGGCACACAUAAUGAUGACGAGUAGGGCGAGGCACGUGAAACCUUGUCUGAAUAUGGGGGGACCAUCCUCCAAGGCUAAAUACUCCUGACUGACCGAUAGUGAACCAGUACCGUGAGGGAAAGGCGAAAAGAACCCCUGUGAGGGGAGUGAAAUAGAUCCUGAAACCGCAUGCAUACAAGCAGUGGGAGCACCUUCGUGGUGUGACUGCGUACCUUUUGUAUAAUGGGUCAGCGACUUAUAUUCAGUAGCAAGGUUAACCGUAUAGGGGAGCCGUAGAGAAAUCGAGUCUUAAUAGGGCGUUUAGUUGCUGGGUAUAGACCCGAAACCAGGCGAUCUAUCCAUGAGCAGGUUGAAGGUUGGGUAACACUAACUGGAGGACCGAACCCACUGUCGUUGAAAAGCCAGGGGAUGACUUGUGGAUAGGGGUGAAAGGCUAAUCAAGCCUGGUGAUAGCUGGUUCUCCCCGAAAGCUAUUUAGGUAGCGCCUCGGACGAAUACCAUAGGGGGUAGAGCACUGUUUCGGCUAGGGGGUCAUCCCGACUUACCAAACCGAUGCAAACUCCGAAUACCUAUGAGUACUAUCCGGGAGACAGACUGCGGGUGCUAACGUCCGUAGUCAAGAGGAAAACAAUCCAGACCGCCAGCUAAGGCCCCAAAAUCAUAGUUAAGUGGGAAACGAUGUGGGAAGGCAUAGACAGCUAGGAGGUUGGCUUAGAAGCAGCCACCCUUUAAAGAAAGCGUAAUAGCUCACUAGUCGAGUCGGCCUGCGCGGAAGAUGUAACGGGGCUAAAACUAUGUGCCGAAGCUGCGGAUGUAUACUUUGUAUACGUGGUAGGGGAGCGUUCUGUAAGCCGAUGAAGGUGUGUUGAGAAGCAUGCUGGAGGUAUCAGAAGUGCGAAUGCUGACGUGAGUAACGACAAAACGGGUGAAAAACCCGUUCGCCGAAAGACCAAGGGUUCCAGUCCAACGUUAAUCGGGGCUGGGUGAGUCGACCCCUAAGGCGAGGCCGAAAGGCGUAGUCGAUGGGAAAAUGGUUAAUAUUCCAUUACUUCUGUGUAAUGCGAUGAGAGGACGGAGAAGGCUAAAUCAGCCUGGCGUUGGUUGUCCAGGUGAAAGGAUGUAGGCAUGUAUCUUAGGCAAAUCCGGGGUACUCUAUGCUGAGAUCUGAUAGCAAGCUGUACUUGUACAGCGAAGUGGUUGAUGCCAUGCUUCCAGGAAAAGUCUCUAAGCUUCAGUUACACAGGAAUCGUACCCGAAACCGACACAGGUGGUCAGGUCGAGUAGACCAAGGCGCUUGAGAGAACUCUGCUGAAGGAACUAGGCAA